rnacentral:miRNA from 1 species
UGAAGCUCUGACAUUCCUGCAG